AUGCGAAGGUCCCAGCAGGGGGGCGAUUACUCUUGUUAUUGAGGCUUCUCUAACAAUCAAAUUCGAUUCCCUUCGCAUAGUUAUUCGCCGAAUCGUAGGAUGCCCAAAUUUUCUCAAUUUUGACGCGUCUUGAACCCUCGGCUAUAUUUUA
rnacentral:snoRNA from 1 species